rnacentral:rRNA from 1 species
CCUACGGGUGGCAGCAGUGGGGGAUCUUGCACAAUGGGGGAAACCCUGAUGCAGCGACGCCGCGUGGGUGAAGAAGCGCCUCGGCGCGUAAAGCCCUGUCAGCAGGGAAGAAAAUGACGGUACCUGACGAAGAAGCCCCUGCUAACUACGUGCCAGCAGCCGCGGUAAUACGUAGGGGGCAAGCGUGAUCCGGAUUUACUGGGUGUAAAGGGGGCGCAGACGGCGGUGCAAGCCAGGAGUGAAAGCCCGGGGCCCAACCCCGGGACUGCUCUUGGAACUGCGUGGCUAGAGUGCAGGAGGGGCAGGCGGAAUUCCUGGUGUAGCGGUGAAAUGCGUAGAUAUCAGGAGGAACACCGGUGGCGAAGGCGGCCUGCUGGACUGCAACUGACGUUGAGGCCCGAAAGCGUGGGGAGCAAACAGGAUUAGAUACCCCAGUAGUC